rnacentral:tRNA from 1 species
AUUAGUGUAUUUUAAUGGAAGAAAAAAAUGAACUUGGAAUCAAGAGACCUAGGUUAGAAUUCUGGCACCAAUA